AGAGUUUGAUCAUGGCUCAGAUUGAACGCUGGCGGAAUUUACACAUGCAAGUCGAGCGGCAGCGCGGGGCAACCUGGCGGCGAGCGGCGAACGGGUGAGUAACAUAUUGGAACGUAUCCAUAAGUGGGGGACAACCUAGCGAAAGUUAGGCUAAUACCGCAUACGCUCGAGAGAGGAAAGUGGGGGAUCGCAAGACCUCACGCUUUAGGAGCGGCCGAUAUCAGAUUAGCUAGAUGGUGAGGUAAAGGCUUACCAUGGCGACGAUCUGUAGCUGGUCUGAGAGGAUGAUCAGCCACACUGGGACUGAGACACGGCCCAGACUCCUACGGGAGGCAGCAGUGGGGAAUUUUGGACAAUGGGGGCAACCCUGAUCCAGCCAUUCCGCGUGAGUGAAGAAGGCCUUCGGGUUGUAAAGCUCUUUUGUUCGGGACGAAACGGUUAAAGCUAAUAACUUUGACUACUGACGGUACCGGAAGAAUAAGCACCGGCUAACUACGUGCCAGCAGCCGCGGUAAUACGUAGGGUGCGAGCGUUAAUCGGAAUUACUGGGCGUAAAGCGUGCGCAGGCGGUUUUAUAAGCCAGAUGUGAAAGCCCCGGGCUCAACCUGGGAAUGGCAUUUGGGACUGUAAAGCUGGAGUAUGGCAGAGGAGACUAGAAUUCCUGGUAGCAGUGAAAUGCGUAGAUAUCAGGAGGAAUACCGAUGGCGAAGGCAGGUCUCUGGGCCAAUACUGACGCUCAUGCACGAAAGCGUGGGGAGCAAACAGGAUUAGAUACCCUAGUAGUCC
rnacentral:rRNA from 1 species